CCAAGGGUUCCAAAGCCAUGGUCCUUCAUGCUUGCAUGAAGGGACAUGGCCUUGGAACCCGGAAAACAUGAGAAAGAAGCCCGAAAGGGCGGAGUUCGAAUGUUUUGAGAAUUGCGGGAGCAUGAAAUGCGGAGCAAUUCGCAGGUAUC
rnacentral:sRNA from 1 species